GUGGAUUAGAUACCCCGGUAGUCCACGCCGUAAACGAUGGAUACUAGCUGUUGGGAGUAAUCUCAGUGGCUAAGCGAAAGUGAUAAGUAUCCCACCUGGGGAGUACGUUCGCAAGAAUGAAACUCAAAGGAAUUGACGGGGGCCCGCACAAGCGGUGGAGCAUGUGGUUUAAUUCGAUGAUACGCGAGGAACCUUACCAAGGCUUAAAUGUAGAUUGACAGAUUUGGAAACAGAUCUUUCUUCGGACAAUUUACAAGGUGCUGCACGGUCGUCGCCAGCU
rnacentral:rRNA from 1 species